GUCUGGUCUGGCCUCUGGCCAGCCCUGCAGAGGAACCUGCGGGCAGAACCCCAGACAGGUGCCAGAACAGCUGGGAGCUCAGCACAGCCCCCACUAAGGAGCUUGGGACCCAGCUGAGGACACUGUCCAGCUGGCCAGGGAGGGGCCUGACCCCUCUGCCCACUGCUGCUGCACUAGAGGCUCUGCACAAGCGGGGUCGGGCCUCCAGCUGGCCCUGCAAGGGGACCUGCGGGCAGAGCCCCACACAGGCCAG